CCUCUGCUCUGGGUGAAGAAGAAGAGAAACAGCAAGAAGGAGCCCUGAUUGCGGUGCCAGCACAACAGCAGACAGCAGGGGAGGAAAUCGAGGCGAGCACCCCUGGUGCACAUGUGGAUGGCUGAUGCUGCCAUUUCCUAUUUUUAUCCUGAUUCACCGCUCCUGGGAACGGAGAGUGAAAGCUGGGUUACAAGGUGCUUGCUAACUGAGGCUUCGUGGUCAGCAUAUAUCACUAGUGGAUGAGUCUGGCGUUUGUCAAGCCCCAGAACAUGAUGAACAACCCAUUACCACCAGAGUAAUGGAGAGGUCUGAACGUCCACAAAUGACAACCGGGAGCAAUUGAAGUAUGAUGGGGAAGGAGGAUGGGCUGCAGCUCCAGGUGAGUUUCUGGGGAGUUCCAUGUGGUCUCCAGGAACAACGGGCAGGUGGUUCCUAGAAUGUGCAAUUCCAUAAAAUACUGUCCAUAAAACCAGGGCUUAUGGGCUUCUUGGUAAGUUUGCUUGAUACUACAAAGAGUUGCGGAUCGCGUGCUUUGGUGCUGGGAGAAGUGUCUGCUGGCAGUAGUUAUCUAGCAUCUUGUUGGUAAGAGGCAGAGUGAAGCACAUAAAGCUUCAGAAAACCUUAAAUUGACAUCGAAAAUUAAAGAAAGCCACAGCUGCUGGUUGCAGGAGAUGUUGGGCAACUGAGCAUGUUGGUGGGUUUCCCUCACUGUGUGACAGGGACUAGCUAGUGUUAGCAGCCUUGGGGAGGCUUAGUAGUGUUUUAGAGCUGCCAGCUCCCUGUGCAUGUGCACAAGUCCUAGAAAGGGCCCUGAAGUCCUGGUGGAUCCAGCUGGGUCCUGCUUAGUCUGAAU
rnacentral:lncRNA from 1 species